GAUGAACGCUGGCGGCGUGCCUAAUACAUGCAAGUCGAGCGAACAGAUAAGGAGCUUGCUCCUUUGACGUUAGCGGCGGACGGGUGAGUAACACGUGGGUAACCUACCUAUAAGACUGGAAUAACUCCGGGAAACCGGGGCUAAUGCCGGAUAACAUUUAGAACCGCAUGGUUCUAAAGUGAAAGAUGGUUUUGCUAUCACUUAUAGAUGGACCCGCGCCGUAUUAGCUAGUUGGUAAGGUAACGGCUUACCAAGGCAACGAUACGUAGCCGACCUGAGAGGGUGAUCGGCCACACUGGAACUGAGACACGGUCCAGACUCCUGCGGGAGGCAGCAGUAGGGAAUCUUCCGCAAUGGGCGAAAGCCUGACGGAGCAACGCCGCGUGAGUGAUGAAGGUCUUCGGAUCGUAAAACUCUGUUAUUAGGGAAGAACAAAUGUGUAAGUAACUGUGCACGUCUUGACGGUACCUAAUCAGAAAGCCACGGCUAACUACGUG
rnacentral:rRNA from 1 species